UCCAGACUCCUACGGGAGGCAGCAGUGGGGGAUAUUGCACAAUGGGGGGAACCCUGAUGCAGCGACGCCGCGUGGGUGAAGGAGCGUUUCGGCGCGUAAAGCCCUCUCGGCAGGGAAGAAGGAGGACGGUACCUGACUAAGAAGCCCCGGCUAACUACGUGCCCGCCGCCGCGGUAAUACGUAGGGGGCAAGCGUUAUCCGGAUUUACUGGGUGUAAAGGGGGCGCAGACGGCAGCGCAAGCCAGGAGUGAAAGCCCGGGGCGCAACCCCGGGACUGCUCUUGGAACUGCGCGGCUGGAGUGCAGGAGGGGCAGGCGGAAUUCCUGGGGUAGCGGUGAAAUGCGUAGAUAUCAGGAGGAACACCGGUGGCGAAGGCGGCCUGCUGGACUGCGACUGACGUUGAGGCCCGAAAGCGUGGGGAGCAAACAGGACUAGAUACCCGGGUAA
rnacentral:rRNA from 1 species